UCUUGGCGUGCACAUCCUUUCAGAUGAAAUUAGACCAAAAGCUGUGCUACAGCAGCAUGAUGAUGGAUUACCUGUUCAUUGAACCAGCCUACAACUACUGUCAGUGGAAAGUGACCUGUUGUGUUUGUGGAAGCUCUGGAAUCCCGCAGGAGAAGGAUCACUCAGCACCGUGGCAGGCUGCCAAGUACAACUUGUACUGAAACACAGUGGUGUUGAGAAGUUGCAUUAUCAACUGAAACGCACUGUCGGCUUAGCAGGAGGACACAGCUAGGAGCUGAUACUACACAGCUAAGUGAUACAGUAGACUGCUGAAACCAUCACCAAAAUUUCAGUCUAAAAUUUUGAGAGAAAAGGGCAAGUGCAAACCGAACUAUCUUCCAAGCC